rnacentral:rRNA from 1 species
GACAGAGGGUGCGAACGUUGUUCGGAAUUACUGGGCGUAAAGCGCAUGUAGGCGGCAGCGCAAGUCGGGCGUGAAAUCCCACGGCUCAACCGUGGAAGUGCACUCGAAACUGCGCAGCUAGAGUCCUGGAGAGGAAGGUGGAAUGCUUGGUGUAGAGGUGAAAUUCGUAGAUAUCAAGCGGAACACCGGUGGCGAAGGCGGCCUGCUGGGCAGUGGCUGACGCUGAGGCGCGAAAGCGUGGGGAGCGAACAGG